CUCGGCUGAAUCAGGGCGUUGGCAGUGCUGUGUCAAGGUUUAGCCGCAGAGCUGUGUGACCAACGCAGCUGAGAAGGCUGCUGGGUGAAGGAGUUGGACCGAAGGCCAGGUGUUGUCCAGAUCUCUUGCUGCUGCUAAUAGGACACUGCUGAGCGCUCCCAGGUGGCACAGGUGCCUUUCUGCCCUGUGGAGCCCUGGGUUCAGAGUCUGCAAUCAUGGGUAUGGAUUUCUCCCAAACCUUACCAGCCUGUGUGUUUCAGCAGUCCUGCUUGAGCAUAAAGAAGGUGCAGUCUUGGAAGCAGCCUUCCAGAGUAGCCAAAUCGGGGGCACUGUAUGAAGAUUACAACUAAAUGCUUUUGUCCUAUAGGCCCUGAGUUCCAUUUCCCUGGGAACAAAGUGAUUCUGUGGGAAGAUAAAGGGAAAGUAGUGCAUGAACCAGAAACCUACCUGUAAGAAAACACCCCUGAGAACUCCCUCAGACCUCACAAGAGCUUCAGUGCAGAAGUAGACGAGACCUCUAAAGGAACAGAUUUCCAAGGCCAGAAGUAAUUUUUGAUCUCCCUGCCCUAGAAUGAGCAUGUUUUCAGAUGUCGUGUUAGAAAUCAUCACAGCUUUGUAAAGUGGAAGGUCGUGACCAGGUUUCAGCCGAGAGCUGUGCUGCCUUGAAUGGUGAGUGAGGCGCAGGCUGCACAGAAAAUGCCGCUUCUCUGUGGGUGCUUAACCUGGGGGAAGCGGAAAGAUCACCACAAAAGAGGAAGUUUUAAGUAACUCUCCAAAUAGCCCACAUUUUCCAUGUCCUGAACUUGUAUGUGAUGUAUAUCCAUGUAUUUAGCAUGUAGAUAUUUUAAACCUCUUUUUACGCUGAACUUGGAAUCACAUCUUGGUAGUUCAGGGACGGUCUACAAGGUUUAUCUAUCUCUGCCUUAUUUGAAAGAUAAAAACCUGCGGAGCCUGAGAGGGUUAAUAAAUUGUUACAGGUC